UCCUCUGAUGCUGUUAAUGCCACACAGAAGUUGAUUGACAGCGCUAAGUCCCGCCCCCUGGCUCUCAUUGGUCGUUUCUUGUUAGCACUGGGAAAAGGGAGAGGAUCUUAAUUUGUUCAAUUAUUGACAGUUAUUUUUUUCCACAGAUUAUUUGU